rnacentral:tRNA from 1 species
AAGUAAGAAGCGAUCAAUUUGCACUCAGUUUCGACCUGAUUCUAGAUAUCUACAUAUCCUUACUUU